AAUGUAUCUGAGAAUGUAAACCCUGGGCAGUUCUGACUUGCAAAUUCUCUAAAUUUCAAUGAACAGUAGCUGCAGGACUAUUUUAUUUCAUGAUGCAGCACUCAUUUAUCAGUGAUUAUCUUGAACUUUAUCCCUUUUAGAUUUUAUAGAGUUAACAGUUGAUGGAAUCAGGAUUGUACAGUGUAGGCAGUAUUGCUGGAACUCGUGUAAUGAUUAGCUUAACAACAUACCCUUAAAGUGAACAGCAGAAAUCUGCUACAAAAUUUAUUCCUUCUUUUCAUGCAUCUGUGAGAGGAAAAAGUAAGAAGUACAGAAUAAUUUUGUGAAACGAGGUUUAGAAUUUAUGCUGUACUUUCUCUGUGUAAUUUCUGAGAAGGCAACAUGAAAAUGUCUCUUAAAACUGAGGGGUGGAUUCACGCUUUCUAACUUAGGUUACUGAAGCUUCAGGUACUCAGCCUAAGUGAGGAGGCAGCCUCUCCUCUCAGACUAAAUAUAGGCUCAAUUUAGAGAGAGACAGGCUGCUGUAGAGGGUAAUUUAAAGCAGAAAUACAGUUUUCAGUGCUCUGAGGUCGCAUACUGAAUUUCGAUUCUCUCAUGGUGCUCCUCCUGUAUAUUUGGGCUCUGGAGUGAAACUGGCAGAUCUUCAAUGUGACAAAACCACUACCUCUCCACUGUGUGCACAGGGAGCUUAGGAAAACCAGGCUUGGAUAUAAACUCCAGCUUGCAUAUAUCAUCACUGUGCCAUGAAAAAACAAUCCUUUUCUUUCCUGACAAGAAUCAUAAAAGGUGCUGUGUGCAAGAUUCACUUGGAAACAUCAAAUGAUUUCAUUGGAGACAGCAAGAGGCAGAGCGGCAUAGGCAUCCCACUGCUCUGUAAUGCUGGAGCAAGUUCCUAUUGCUAUGUCCCCCGGGGCUCCUCUUAUCCUGUUCCAAAUUGUUGGGCGAUGCUGUAAUGCAGAUGUCCUACAUGAAUACCUGGUGGGGAUACAUCCAGAUGGGAUCCAGGAGGACAUGGAGUCCCUGGGAGCCACAGGGCCAUCAGUUCUGCCCAGCCUUGCCCACUCCUUGCAGGGAAGUAAUUAUGGCCUUUUCUUCAGAUAAGAAGUUUCACUCUGAGAGUAGCAACUAGAGGAGUUUUCCUUGUAAGCUUUUUUUUUUUUUCUUUAAGGAAAGGUGUUUCACUCAAGUUGUAUAUAAAUGACAGAAAUCAAACUGAC
rnacentral:lncRNA from 1 species